CUCCUCAUCCCCAGAGCUGGCAUCUCCCUCUGCCAGACAUCCCAUGGAGUGUUUCCUCCCUGCAACCCUGCUUCAGGGCGGCCCAUUUAUGGCAGCGUCUCAGACGCCAGGGAAGAUGUGGAGGAACUUGGCAAUCCCAUCGCAGGUGCCUCCACCAACACUGCUGCCAAGAAAGCAAAUCGCCCCAGUGCAACACAGCUGAGGCACAGUACAUUUGAGUGCUACAGACAGGACAAUACCCCAGCUUUUCUCCAGCCCAGACUUCUGGGACAACUGCACAAUCUGCCCCGAGGCGAGACGGAGAGCCCAUGCAUUGCAGUCCCGAUUACUGUAGAGCACUGCAGCACAAACUGCCCUGUGCUGCAGAAAGUCAGCGUAAUCUGCAGCAUCUUGCAGGGACUUAAUGCAUUACACGUUUGACUGCAGGACGCUGCAGUGACGGCAGGAUUUCCCAGCCAGCUGCCUGGCCAACACACAGGCAGGUACUGCAGAGGAAGAGUGGCAGAAGGAAAGGAGGUGGAGAGAUUCCCCCUGCACUCCACCCAGUCUCUUUUCUGGAACCACUGUUGCUAAAUAUGAACCAUACACUGUGCCAUGUAAGGCCAGAUAAACAAGCAACAGGAUCCGGCGCUCAGGGGAGCUGGCACUUGGAGAUGCAUGCCCGUGCCUGGAGAAGACAGUGCAACUGACUGCAGAUGGCUGGCUCAGAUGGAGAGCAGGAAGAAGAGAAGAGGCAAGGAAGGGAAUGAAAUGAGAUUUAUCAGCUGGCCAGCGUGACUCAGCCCUGACUUGAAGGGACCAGUCCAAGGGGCAAGGAAAAAGUCCAGUCACCAAGGCUCAUUCUAUCCUCUGCCCUCGAACAAUGCUGUUAAUUGGGUUGGUGGCUGGGCGAGGCAGGCAUACAAGAAUCCCCACCCCACGAGCCAUGUUUAACUGCAUUUGUCACCCAGCAGAUGUCUCGGUAAGUAAAGUUCCCCAUGAGUACAGAAGCCUGUGACUUUCAACUCCUCCUCUAAGUAUGUUCUCGGCCAACUUCUUCAGUCCCAGCAGAUCCCACUGUUUUCUAACAUUGAUAUUCCUCCUUUAUAUUUUGCCCUCUCCUUCACCAGGACAUGUGGUACCCAUCAAAACAUGCAUGUACAUGCUCAUUAUAUAGACACUCAAUACAUAACCCUUAGUGUGUGUUUUGUACAGCCUGAAUUGUCCAAAAAUGGAGGCACCCAAAAUGAAUACCCAAGUGGAGACAUUUAAAAGGAAAUUUGAUUUUUCUGAAAGCACUAACCCCGUCUCCCUGAAAAUAAAAACCUCUCAAGUAGUCUCACCUAAAAAUCAGUAGUCUCUUCCAAAGUGUACAUUUUCCAAGGCAUGACCCAAAACAUGGUCUGAUUACAGGAGCCAUUCUACCAGCUUUUCAGAUAUGGUUAUUCCAGCCCCUCCUCUCAGAAGAGAGUGGGCACAGAGCUAUGCUCCUCUUUACAGGCUAAUUGUGGUGCUAACCUGAGUGAGCUCUGUUUCACCUCAUCACUUCUGCCAGUGUCACCGCUUUGGCUAAAGCCCUUAUGAAGGGAGAUUUGGCCAAGUUAUAUUUGUACGUUCAAAGUUUCAAAAGCACACAGGCAAUAAAAGCAGCACGUGUCUUAAAAUGCAUGUCACUGAAAAGCUGGCCCUUGCUUGCUCGUUUAAAAGGAGACUCCAUUUUUAUAAGUUGCAUUUUUACAGAGUUCUUGGAAAGUGUCUGUAGCAUUUGGCUGUCACAUGACUAUGUGGUCAUGGAAAAAAUGUUAAAGGUAUUUUCUUACUGUACAGGUCUUUUCUUGCUCAGCACUCUAAAGGUCUUAUAUGGCCCUGUACAGUAUGAACAAAUAUCAAUUUAUUUGAACAGCAACUCUCUGAGGUACAGAGUAUUAUUAGCACUAUUUUAUAGACAGACAGAGAGGAAGCGAUUUGCCCAAGGCCAUACAUGGAAUCUGUGGCAGAGGCAGGAGUUGAACCAAGAUUUCCCAAAUCCCAGUUCAGUGCCUUAUAAGACAUUCUUUAGUGGCAUGAAUAUUCUUUUAAUUCCUGUUAGCACUGCAGAGCCAACAGCUGUGCUUCCCCCUACUGGCUACCCUUCUCUAGCUCAUCCCACAGAAGCAACUGGUCUUCUCAUUCAAGGCCCUUCAUGGACUAUUGCCACCCUACCCAUCAUCUCUCAUUCACUAUCAAAAUGUUCACUCCCACCGGCCCAUGAUGCCAGCUGCCAUUGCCCACUUAUGUUUGCCAACAAGCUUUCAUGCUCUCACGCUGCCCCUCACACUUGGGAGGAACUCUAAACAUCCACAAAACCACUUCACUGUUCUUCAAAUGCCUCCUUAAAACUCCCCCUUUGCCAACAUGCCUCUAACAACUUGAGAGCCAUUAGAACAGUAGUACACUGAGUCCAUGCUGGCCAAUACACCCCCAUCUAUCCAUAUCUGUGUGUCAUGUCUUACAUGUCAGUUGCAAGCUCUUUGGGGCAGGGACCAUCUUCUUGUUGCAGGUUUGUAGUGCCUAGCAUAAUGGGUUCUGAUCCAUAUCUGAAGUUCCUAGGUGCUAGGGUAAACAGACAUCUAUGGGCAUGCAAGCUCAAUUCUAAUCUGUGUCACACAUCGGUCUAGGCUAUAGAGUUCAAAGGUUAAUCAUGGAGUCAGAGAAUUAUUAACCAAGUUCCACUUGCAAAAUUACUGGGUAUGAGCCCAUGAGGCACAAAAGAACCCAGCUUGAUGCUCAGAUCCUAGGGUGAGUUUGCAGGGCUGGCAAUUAGAAAAAGACAAACAAAGCUCUUUUUUUUUUUUUUUUAAACUUUGAGCAGAGCAAAUUGCAUUUGGCAUCAUGGAGAUGAUUAGACUAGUGCAGUGACA